rnacentral:rRNA from 1 species
CAGUAGCCACGGUAAUACGUAGGUGGCAAGCGUUGUCCGGAAUUAUUGGGCGUAAAGGGCUCGCAGGCGGUUUCUUAAGUCUGAUGUGAAAGCCCCGGCUCAACCGGGGAGGGUCAUUGGAAACUGGGAAACUUGAGUGCAGAAGAGGAGAGUGGAAUUCCACGUGUAGUGGUGAAAUGCGUAGAGAUGUGGAGGAACACCAGUGGCGAAGGCGACUCUCUGGUCUGUAACUGACGCUGAGGAGCGAAAGCGUGGGGAGCGAACAGGAUUAGAUACCCCCGUAGUCCCUGUCUCUUAUACA